AGUAUUAGUUCCCUUCAAUCAAAUCAAUAAGUUUAUUUUUUUAUUGAUUCAGGGAAAAAACCUCCUUCUUAGAACCCAUUGAGGGGGCCUCGGCCCGGGAAGGGGAGAGUGGCCGAGUGGUCAAAAGCGGCAGACUGUAAAUCUGUUGAAGUUUUUCUACGUAGGUUCGAAUCCUGCCUCUCCCACUUGUUGUAGUUUUAGCUUGUAUAUGUGAAAAAACGAGAUUUUCUUUCAUAGAAUAACUCUUUCACAUAAGAAAGUGGAGGCAGGCUUGGGGGGAUACGAUCUAAAAUGAUUCCACAUGAAAGAGGACCGGGCAAUCGCCCUCUUUUUUAAUGAAGAAGCGGGCUAGUCCCCGAAAAUGCCCGUUAAUCAAGCAAGUUGGGGAAAAAAUCUUACCUAUUAGACGGAACACGAAGAGGUGAACUGCCGGAACAGGAGGACUUAAAGCUGAGGAAACAGGAAGGGCAGCUAAGGGAACUUGCUUCGGUAGGAGUGUGCUGAAGUUGGCUUCAAACAAAGAGAAAGAAAGUAGUGUGCUGAAGGAAAGAAGAAAGAGAGAAGGUUAAGAAGAGGAUACUGGCUUCGUAAGUAAAGUAUCUGAAGAUGAGAUAGAUCGGAGAGGUGAGUUACCAGCGAAACUAUUCACUCUGAUGUCCAUUUCCUGCAUUUUCUUUGUGCCGAUAGAGGAUUUAAUAUGUAGAUUCCUUUCCUUAUUCCCUUUCUGGUAACCAUAACACGUCCCUGCUUUUUUCUGUCGUUGACUGCUAGAGCAAGAGGGGACGACCUUUCCUACCUUAUGAUACACUGAACUGCUACGGCGGCUUUAGCUCUACUAUGGCAGAAGGAAUCGCCAACUUUCAUUUCAUAUAGCUGUAAAAGUUAGCAACCCCAUUUCUAAGGGAAAGAGCAAUCUUUUUUUGAAAAGUUUCAUCUACAGUCAAAAGAAAGCAAACCUCGGCAGCACAGAAGAGAGCUACUACUAUUAUUGCAUGCGUGCUCACGUGUAAGAGUGUGCUAAAUAAGGAAACUUCGGUCUAAUCCUCGGGUGUGCUAUCACAAGGAACUCGUCCGGUGUAGGAUUGUAGAUUACCUGUCCUAUUCAGCACACUCCUCCAUUACAGCACAGAGGAUUAGCUCGGGUUAGGAAAACAAGUAGCUGGUCAAAGCAUCGGAAAAGCAGAGGAGUGUGCUGACUUCAAGUAGUAGCUAGUCAACCAACUUCUGCUCAACCCUAGGAACAAGGAAAGUAUCAGCCGAUAACUCUGUUCACUUGGUGUGGGAUUCCUAAAAGUGUACUAUUAUCGCACGCCAAAGAGUGUGCUGAAAAGGGAAUAGUUGGUUAACU
rnacentral:tRNA from 1 species